UACGUAGGGGGCAAGCGUUGUCCGGAAUCAUUGGGUGUAAAGAGCGUGUAGGCGGCCCGGUAAGUCCGCUGUAAAAGUCCAGGGCUCAACCCUGGAAAGCCGGUGGAAACUGUCGGGCUAGAGUCCGGAAGAGGCGAGUGGAAUUCCUGGUGUAGCGGUGAAAUGCGUAGAUAUCAGGAGGAAUACCGGUGGUGUAGACGGCUCUCUGGACCGUAACUGACACUGAGACACGAAAGCGUGGGUAGCAAACAGG
rnacentral:rRNA from 1 species